rnacentral:rRNA from 1 species
AUUCACGGAUCCAGAGUUUGAUCAUGGCUCAGGAUGAACGCUGGCGGCGUGCCUAACACAUGCAAGUCGAGCGAUUCUCUUCGGAGAAGAGCGGCGGACGGGUGAGUAACGCGUGGGUAACCUACCCUGUACACACGGAUAACAUACCGAAAGGUAUGCUAAUACGGGAUGAUAUAUAGAAAUCGCAUGAUUUUUAUAUCAAAGAUUUAUCGGUACAGGAUGGACCCGCGUCUGAUUAGCUUGUUGGCGGGGUAACGGCCCACCAAGGCGAUGAUGCAUAGCCGACCUGAGAGGGUGAACGGCCACAUUGGGACUGAGACACGGCCCAAACUCCUACGGGAGGCAGCAGUAGGGAAUUUUCGUCAAUGGGGGGAACCCUGAACGAGCAAUGCCGCGUGAGCGAAGACGGUCUUCGGAUUGUAAAGCUCUGUUGUAAGAGAAAAACGACAUAUAUAGGGAAUGAUAUAUGAGUGAUGGUAUCUUACCAGAAAGUCACGGCUAACUACGUGCCAGCAGCCGCGGUAAUACGUAGGUGGCGAGCGUUAUCCGGAAUGAUUGGGCGUAAAGGGUGCGUAGGUGGCUCGUUAAGUCUGGAGUCAAAGCCGGCAGCUCAACUGUCGUACGCUUUGGAAACUGGCGAGCUCGAGUGCAGGAGAGGGCGAUGGAACUCCAUGUGUAGCGGUAAAAUGCGUAGAUAUAUGGAAGAACACCAGUAGCGAAGGCGGUCGCCUGGCCUGCAACUGACACUGAAGCACGAAAGCGUGGGGAGCAAAUAGGAUUAGAUACCCUAGUAGUCCACGCCGUAAACGAUGAGAACUAAGUGUUGGGGGAAUAACUCAGUGCUGCAGUUAACGCAAUAAGUUCUCCGCCUGGGGAGUAUGCACGCAAGUGCGAAACUCAAAGGAAUUGACGGGGGCCCGCACAAGCGGUGGAGUAUGUGGUUUAAUUCGAAGCAACGCGAAGAACCUUACCAGGCCUUGACAUCCCCUGCGAAACCCUAGAGAUAGGGCAGAGGUUAUCAGGGAGACAGGUGGUGCAUGGUUGUCGUCAGCUCGUGUCGUGAGAUGUUGGGUUAAGUCCCGCAACGAGCGCAACCCCUGUGAUAUGUUACCAAUAUUGAGUUAGGGACUCAUAUCAGACUGCCGGUGACAAACCGGAGGAAGGUGGGGAUGACGUCAAAUCAUCAUGCCCCUUAUGGCCUGGGCUACACACGUACUACAAUGGCAGCUACAAAGAGCGGCGACGACGCGAGUCGGAGCGAAUCUCAUAAAGGCUGUCUCAGUUCGGAUUGAAGUCUGCAACCCGACUUCAUGAAGUUGGAAUCGCUAGUAAUCGCGAAUCAGCAUGUCGCGGUGAAUACGUUCUCGGGCCUUGUACACACCGCCCGUCAAACCAUGGGAGUUGGUAAUACCCGAAGCCGGUGGCAUAACCGCAAGGGGUGAGCCGUCGAAGGUAGGACCGAUGACUGGGGUUAAGUCGUAACAAGGUAGCCGUAAGCUUCACAAUCGUCGACCUGC